rnacentral:misc_RNA from 1 species
GAUGAAGAACGCAGCGAAAUGCGAUAAGUAAUGUGAAUUGCAGAAUUCAGUGAAUCAUCGAAUCUUUGAACGCACCUUGCGCUCCUUGGUAUUCCGAGGAGCAUGCCUGUUUGAGUGUCAUUAAAUUCUCAACCUUAUUAGCUUUUGCUGAUAAUGGCUUGGACUUGGGGGUCUUUUUGCUGGCUUUCAUUAGUCUGCUCCCCUUAAAUGUAUUAGCCGGUGCCCCGCAGUGGAACCGUCUAUUGGUGUGAUAAUUAUCUGCGCCGUGGACGUUCUGCUAUAAUGGGUUUGCGCUGCUUCUAACCGUCUCUCGGGACAACACAAAUGACAAUUUGACCUCAAGUCAGGUAGGACUACCCGCUGAACUUAAGCAUAUCAAUAAGCGGAGGA